CUUCGGGCCGCUCGGCCCGUGGGCGCGGGCGCGACGCGCGGGGCUGCCUGGCUUCCUGGCUGGCGAGCUGCGCUGAGCAGCCGAGGAGCCGCGGGCCGGCCGGCUCACAGACUCGGCGCUCCGCAGGCCCCGGAGCCCCCGCGCCGAGCGGGCGGGACGCAAACUUCCGGGGUUGGAUGGCUCAGGGCUGGCGCUGAAGCUUAGCAAGGCUGGAGGCCAGUCCCCAAGUCUGCGGGCGUCUGGGCUGCAGCCCAGUAGUCUCAAGGCGGGCAGCGGGGCGACUGGACGGCCAGACAGACUUGCUGGCUGUCUACCUGUUUGGUUUGCUGUGUUCUGUGUCGGCAAUGGCUGCUAG
rnacentral:lncRNA from 1 species